rnacentral:rRNA from 1 species
UACGAGGGGGGGCAAGCGUUGUUCGGAUUUAUUGGGCGUAAAGGGUGCGUAGGCGGUUUGGCAAGUCUUGUGUGAAAUCUUCGGGCUCAACCCGAAGCCUGCACAAGAAACUGCCGGGCUUGAGUAUGGGAGAGGUGAGUGGAAUUUCCGGUGUAGCGGUGAAAUGCGUAGAUAUCGGAAGGAACACCUGUGGCGAAAGCGGCUCACUGGACCAUAACUGACGCUGAUGCACGAAAAGCUAGGGGGAGCAAACAGG